CAACAGUUCAGGAAGGAAGGAGGAGAAGAAAGCAGUUAUAAAUGCUCACAGAGCUAACUGCCACUGACGGUGACUAGUACUAAGCCCAGGCAAAGGCCCAGGCAGGCCCAUAAGCCCCGACCCCAAACAUAGACUGAGCCUGUGAGCCCUGGCCAGACCCUGACAAUACAGCAAGCAGAGGCCAAGGAGGCCAUUACCUCCAAGACAGCUAUGUGGUCACGAGGAGAGUCAGGACAUGUGGGUCUAAGUCCCUGAUGUCCCACAAGACCUUGACAAAGUUGCUGAACCCUCUGGGGCCUCAACUCCUUCAUCCGCAAACUGGGCGAACAGUAGCUACUCCCAAGCUUGCUGCACAGAUGAAAUGAGACCAGGCCCACUUAGCCUCUUUGUGAACCACAGGGACUCCCACAACAUGUGAGGCCCACCCACGCCUCAGACACUGGGCUCUGAGAAAAGGGGGUGGCAACAAUUGAGCUCCAGAAGCAGCCAGACUGCUGCCAGGCCAGGAGCCCAGGGCAGCCAGGAAGGAGGCCACUGCUGGGCCCAGGAGGCAGCAGGCGGAGGGUUCUCCAGGAUGGAAGGGUCCAGGAAGAAAUGAGAAUGUUUGCUCCUCAGGCCACAGAGGCAGGUCUCAGCCCUGGCCCAUCAGAGGAUCCAUGCAGGAAGCCACUUCAGCCUGCUGCCCACUGCUCACCUCCUGCACAGACCCCAUGCCAUCAGAGACCAGGUACCCAGGGCCUGGGCAAUGGCCCAACCUCAGCUCAAACUUCAGCCCUCCCUUCUGACAGCUUUCCCUGAACACGGCUCUGGACUGUACCCCAAACUGUACCCAGCACCCAUUUGACAGCCCACCAGUCCACGUUCCUGCAGCUCUAGUAGGGCAGGCAGUGUGGACAAGAGAGUUCUGCCAUGGCCAGCCCAUGACCCCAGGUGUGACCCCACCAACCAGGCCAGCCUGGAAAGGCCAUGCUGCUCACACCCGAGGGCUGCCUGCCCAUCAGCCAGGACCGACUCAGGGGACAAAGAGAGGCCUGUGCAUCAGCAACCUACUCCACAAGACACAAUCGAGGAACAGCCUUCUGGGAGGUUGGCGGUGGAAAGGAAGCAUACACCUGGAUGGCCUCUUUGGUCCUCUAAGGCGUAGGUCCCCAACCCCUGGACCACGGAUGGGUACUGAUCCAUAACCUGUUAGGAACCAGGUUGCAGAGCAGGAGACGAGUGGCAGGCGAGCUAGCAAGCAUUAACGCCUGAGCUCUGCCUCCUGUCAGAUCACAGGCAGCACUAGAUUAUCAUAGGACGCGAACCCUACCGUGAACUGCGCAUGCGAGGGCUCUAGGAGUGUGCUCCUUUGAGAAUUGAACGAAUGCCUGAUGAUCCGAGGUGGAACAGUUGAUGAUCUGAAGUGGAAUAGUUUCAUCCCCAAACCAUCCUCCCCGACCCCGUCCAUGGAAAAAUUGUCCUUCAUGAAAUGGUCCCUUGUGCCCCAAAGGUUGGAGACCACUGCUCUAAGCCACCUACUCAGCCAUGGCCACCUCAAGUCCACUGCCACCUGGACAGAGUUUCUGUGGCGCAAAGCUAACUACUUCUCUCCCCUGCUUACAAACCACCGACAGCUCCCCCGUGCCUCCAGGGCAAAGUCUCAAUUCCUUCACACAGCAUUCAAGGCCCUCCCGGCCUGGCCCUCACCUGCCUCUCCCCAGCCAACUCCACUGCUUCUCUAAACACCCAUGACCGCUUGCCAUUCCUGAACCAUGGGGUCCUCCUGUUCCUGCCUUUGCACAUACUGUUCCCAGUGCCUAAAAUGCCCUUCCCUCUCCCUCCGCCUGGCAAACCCCCGCUCCUCCCUCAAGGUCCAGCUCAUCGUCACCUCCUCUGGGAGGCCUAACCAGAUCCUCCCUCUCCACCUCCAGGGCGAAAUGACUUGCUCUCCUCUGCCCCAUAUCCAUGAGCAAGCCAGGCGCAUCCUACCUUCAAUCCCAAGACCCAGGCAAGAGCUGCUCAAGAAAUUUGAGGUGAAGUGACUUCUUUACUUUUUAAGUUUUCCAAUCUGAUGCCAACAGAUAUUUUUGUGAAAUAAAAUUAAAAAUGAUGUGGCAAUGUCAAGUUGCCAAACAAGUUUCUCAAGGCUUUCUCUCAAAGUCUGCAUGUCUCUCACCAUACACCCAUCCAGCACAGCUCAGGAUGGGCAGAGGUCUGCGGACCACGGUCUCCAUUGCCUGGCAGAGCCACUGUGCUCCCAGUGUUCCAAGAGGAACCUGGUGCAGGGC
rnacentral:lncRNA from 10 species